CCUCAAAUCAGGCGGGACUACCCGCUGAACUUAAGCAUAUCAAUAAGCGGAGGAAAAGAAACUAACAAGGAUUCCCCUAGUAACUACGAGUGAAGCGGGAAAAGCUCAAAUUUAAAAUCUGGCAGUCUUUGGCUGUCCGAGUUGUAGUCUGGAGAAGCGUCUUCCGCGCUGGACCGUGUACAAGUCUCCUGGAACGGAGCGUCAUAGAGGGUGAGAAUCCCGUCUUUGACACGGACUACCAGUGCUUUGUGAUGCGCUCUCAAAGAGUCGAGUUGUUUGGGAAUGCAGCUCAAAAUGGGUGGUAAACUCCAUCUAAAGCUAAAUAUUGGCGAGAGACCGAUAGCGAACAAGUACCGUGAGGGAAAGAUGAAAAGCACUUUGGAAAGAGUGUUAAACAGUACGUGAAAUUGCUGAAAGGGAAACGCUUGAAGUCAGUCGCGUCCGCUAGAACCCAGCCUGGCUUUUGCUUGGUGCAUUUUCUAGUGGACGGGCCAGCAUCACUUUUGGCUGCGGGAUAAAGGUCGCAGGAAUGUGGCACCUUCGGGUGUGUUAUAGCCUGUGAUUGUAUACCGUGGCUGGGAGUGAGGACCGCAGCACGCCUUCAUGGCGGGGGUUCGCCCACCUUGCGUCUGUGAGAUGGUG
rnacentral:rRNA from 1 species